rnacentral:lncRNA from 1 species
AUGCGAGGCUGGGGCCGGUUGCCUACCGGCCGCUUCUCGCCGAGGCAGUCCAGACUUUUCCCCCGGCGGUGCCCGCUCCAAGACAGCAUCUGUCAACGCUCCUCUUCUCCCCUCCUCCUCCUGCCGGGCCGGGCUCCGCCGGCUGCGGCCGAGAGGACGCGGGACCCGGCGCGGUGAGCCCAUCAGCUGUCAGGCGAGCGGCGAAGCGGCUGGAGGGCGGCGAGAGACACACAAAGAACGCGGUGGGCGGCGGCGGCGAAAGGGGACGGCAACUCCUCCCCGCGCCCGCCGGUGCCACCGCCGGCCGUGCUUGUUCCGAGGCCGCGCAGACAAUGCGGCCGGGCUCGUCCCCGCGUGCCCCAGAGUGCGGAGCGCCCGCGCUCCCCCGACCCCAACUUGACCGUCUCCCGGCUCGCCCAGCCCCCUCCCGGGGUAGGGGCGCCCCCUCCCUCCGGUGGCCGGCGAAGGAAGUCGGUCCGCGGCCGCAGAUCCCGGCAACUUGCGAACCGGGAAAAGUUUGCGGCGCCUCCGCGGGGCGGCGCGACGCGGCCCGCCCCUCGCGUCCGCGGUCAUCGCGGGUGACUUUCUCGACUCGUCGUCAGCCGGGGCCGCAGCGCGGCCGGUGGGGACUGCGGGGCGGGCCGGAGUCCGUCCGAGGGCUCCCGCACCUCGGGCUGCGGCACCAGACAUGUUGGCAUCAUCUCUUAGUUGGGCCAUGUGGCCAGGGAACCCUUCAUGAAACCACCUCUGCAGUCCUGGAGAGUUGCUGUAGAAGAAGGAAAAGAGAGGAAGACAACACAACACAGGAGGGGAUAAGUACCUCUGGACACAAUGGAAGUAGUAGUUGUUGAGCAGAGGGAAAGGGAUAGGAGAAGGAUGUGGACUGCAGUGCUGCAGUGCCAGGUAAUAACUUUGAUCAUGUACCUCCUUGGCUCAGGUGCUGUCUCUUCUACUCUCCUCCUUACUUGUACUACCUUAUUUAGCACUUAAUUAUAUACUUUCUUGACUCACUUUGAGACACACUGAUUAUGUGGUCUGCCUCAAAGACAGAAUCCUAGUUUUGGAUUUUAGCAUUACUGAUCUAUAGCCUUGCAGGGGCUUAAGGAUGGCAGCUGUCUCUCUCCCUUGGGAUCUAGCUUUUGCAAAUAUUGAAGGGAAGAGAUUUCUUUGAUCUUAUAGGAAUAGAUCCACAGUUCCUCUCCAGAUUUGCUUUUAUAGAGAAGUGUGUGUCACCAAAACAAUGGAGAUACGGUCAGAGAGGCCCCUACCCCCAGAAUUUUAAUAUAAUUUUACUUUCUGGGGCAUUUAUUCUUGACAAAUACUUUCUCUCCUAUCAGCUCACUUGUUCCUCACAAAAACCCUAUAAGAUAUUAAUAUUAUUAAACAGACCCCUAUGAAGCACCUCAAGUCUUUCUCUCUUCCCACUUCCAUUCUUGCACACCUUUUGCUAGACUAGUCUCUGCGUUCAUCACAUCAGGUUUCUAAAAUAAAAGUCCCCUAAUAACUUUCUAUUUGUUCUCUCAUCAUAUUGAACCUUUUUUGCCUGGCUUAUAAGGUGGCCUUAAAACCCCAUUUUCCUCUAAACAUUGUCUCUGUAGUUCAGGAAUAUGGCAGGCUCAACACUAUGCUUGAGCCCAUAUUGCUUCCCUCAUUAGUGAUGCCUCCUCUCAGACCACCCAGAUUCUACUCAUUCUUCAAUUUCCAGCUUCUCCUUGGAGCCUUCCCAGAUCAUUAGCUUCUUAAAAAUCCCAGCUUUCUCUGAAUUCUGAUGGUAGCCCCCGUUAUUUGGACAAUUAUGUCCUGGUCUUAAAGUCCUAAUGGGAAAAAAAAGUACAUGAUGGACUUCAUGUAGAGAAGAAAGCACUGGACUGAGUUUUAAGACAGCUGCUAAGGAGCUGUGUGAGCCAAACCAGGUUACUUUACCUCUCUGGAUCUAUAUUUGCUGAUCUGUUAAGUGGAGACAAUUGGGUCAGAUAAUCUUGGUGGUCUUUGCUUAUUCUGAGGUUCUUGGACAACUUGGCCUAGUUCACGUGGGAUGGGAUUGAAGAUCUUACUGAGUUCUUGGAUGGAAAUGUCAGUAAUGGGCACUUAGUGCCUUCAGGACUUGUUCUAUACUAUCCCAGAAAUUUCUGAUGCUAAACUUGGCAAUUUUUAAAUGUCAUAUUCCUUUUCUCCAAACUCUUUAACCACAAGAAUUCAGGGAAGGUUAUGGGGGGUGACUUAGUUAUCUGGAUAAUACAUAUUGUGGACAAUAUAGCAUUAUCCUUGGGAAUGAUUUCAUAUUGUUGAAUAAAUAGGAUCAACUUCUUGAUAAACCUUAGUCCCAAGCAUUUCAUCUUCAUUGGAUAGUGUUACAUAGUAAUAUAUUUAUGUUUUCUUUUAAUCAUUUCAUAACUUGGAAAAUACUAACAUAGUCAAAACUCUAGGGUAGGUGAUACAUGAGUUUCUGUAGUAAUCUGGUUGGAGACAUGUUGUAAUUCUGUAUAUAUAUGUACAUUUAUCCCAUGCAUGUUAUGCCUAAACUAAGACGGAUACCCCUGAAUUAAGAGGUGCUGUUAUACAUUGACCAGGCUUAAGAAUAUCUCUUUAAAGUGUGUCGACAUUUAAUUGACCUUUGGAAGUUCAUUCUGUUAAUCAUACUCAAAGUGCUAAAGCUAUGGUUGACUGCUCUGGUGUUUUUAUAUUCAUUCGUGCUUUAGCAUAUAAAUUCUUCAGCAUAAUUGCUACUUAUUUAGCAAGAGUUUCCUUUAUUUGAAAAUGUGAGUUGUGCUUGUAUUUUUGUGUCUUUCUUUCUUUCUUUCUUUUUUUAAACUUUGCUUCAGGCUGGGUAGUGGUAGAGGUUUGAAUUAAAAUGUUUUCCUGUCAGUAGUUGUAUGAGGUGUGGCUUCUUAAUCUAGAAGUAAUGGAAAUUUCUUGCUUAAAUGAAGUGCACUUUUCUUCCUGCAGAAGUUAGAACUCUUUUAGACAAGCUUAACACUUCAAAACUGUAUAUCUUUAACAGAAACUUUUGGAAAUUUUUAAAUUCCAUUUGUGUAGAUUAAAAAUAUCAAUGCUAAUACUUUCUAUUAAAUAAGGAUUUAUCUAUUUUCAUAAAACCUCUAAUUAUAUUCCUUGAAUUGCUAUGAGUAGAAUUUUGUUGUAAACACAAUAUUUUUAAAAAGUCAAAUAUAUUUUAAAAAUCUUAACAUUAUAUUACUAUAACUUAGAGAACAGGUGUUUACAUGUUUAAAAUUUUCUAGGCCUUAAAUUUGUGAAAUCAGUCUUUCAGAAGUUAUUUUUAAUAUAGUUAUCUGUGUUACAGGUUUAUAAGUUGACAUUUCAAUUUAAAAUUUUUUCAAUUUAUAUUUCAAUGACCAGGAAAAAAUAGUUAAACUUAUUCCUAAAUUUUAAUAGAAAAAUAAAAAACCACAUAGUUGUUAAUUUCUGGUAAUUUAUCUUGAGACUCCAGGCAUGUUUUUAGAACAUUUUUACCUUAAAAGCAAUUUUGAAAUAGGGAAAUUAAAGUUUAAAGCAGAGUUUUCACUUUAAUGAGGUAAUUUUAUACUUCCCAGAUAGGUAGGCCCAUAUUCAAGAACACUCUGAUCUCUGUUUAUAGUAAGUUUUGAUGCCAUUAUAUCAUUUACUUAUUCACGCAUUAUAAGCAUAGUAGAUAGCCCCAUUGUCACGAAGCUGGCAUUAUUUUCUUGUCUGUCAUUCAAUAUUGUCCCCUUUUUUUUUUCUGUUUUCAUCAUAGCCGUCCUUUUCAUUUUAUUGUAGCCCUGACUCGAAAUGAAAGUAAGUUUGAACUCUUAAAAAAGAGUUCCUCAAACUCUUUUUUAAGAAUAUACAGUGAAAUGUCUUAAAUAAUAUUAUCUAAAUAAUACCUAAAGAAUGCAAAUGACUUGCAAUGCUGAAUAGUCAGACACAGGAUGUUCCAUGCUAAGGGUAGACUCAUAUUUCCACUUUAUAAAAUGUGGUUUCAGAAAACAAAUAGAUGUGUUUCUUCCUUAAUAAUUAGUGUUUCAGGACCAAAGUUGACUAAAUAUGGAAGUUUAAGAUAAAACCCGGUUUCUUAGGGAAUCUUUCUCAGUCCUUAGUAAUUCUGUAGAAUUGAUGAUAGAGUGGCAACUUCAAUACACUCAGUAUUCUUUUCUGUUUGAAGUCUGUUUUGCCAUUGGAAAAAACUUAUUGUUGUUUGAAUUUGGGUAUAUGUAUUCACAGAUGGUUUACUUUAUUUUUAUUUUGUUUAAACAAAUACUUUCAUGUCCCAAACACUGAGACAUGUUUCAUGUCCUAAACACUUUAUAAAUAUUAGAAUAUUUAAUCCCCUUAACUCUGUAGUUAUAAUUAUCUUCAUUUUACAAUUGAGAAAACUAAGAUACGACGUUUUAUUUAAUGGUAACGCCUUAAGUAAGGGGAGAGUGAUAAGUGUAAGCAGAGUGGAAAACUUAGUAGUGCUAAGGAGCAACAGAAGUAUGUGCAAGAGUUUGGGAAGAUGUGUCUGCUUGGAAAGGAUCAGGGACUCAGCUGGGAUCAGUCUUAAAGAGCAACAUGUCCUCAUUCCUCAAUUUUAAGCCUUUGGGCUCUAGAAGUAAAGGGCAAACUUAGAGGAGGCACUCCUCAGGUUUCAGCUGCCUGUUCCGGCCUGGUGAGGUGGCUGUACUGGCUCAUGUGUUUCUCAUAGGGCUACAUGAGCCUUUAUGUCUUACCUCCUCCUCAUUUCUUGGCUGACUCCUGCUUUUUUGGAGGGUUUAACUUCUCUCUCAGCUAGAAGGUUAGGCAUUGCAAAUACCAGUGGAUAAUUUUUUUCUUAGCUUUAACCCCAGCCCAUUUCAACCCCCUCUUUGCCCUUUGUAUAUUCUUUUGAAAAUAUGAUCCAGUAGUGUUUAUGAAUGUGUGUUGUGUAAAAUUUAGAGAUUGAUGUUAAACAACAGAAUUAAAGGACAAAGCUGUCUUUUUUGUUGGAAUUGGGGAUGGGAGAGCAGCUCAAAGUGGGAAAUAUGGAGAAAGGAGAGACAUUGUGGAAAAGAAGAGAUAAAUUGAGGGGAAAAAAAGAGGAUGAAAAAAUGAAGAGAGAGAAUUACUGAUGUGCUUCACACCCACACCUCCUCUCCAACUUCACAGUAACAGAGGCAAUGUCACUAUCUUUUACCUGACAAGUGCUUUACCAGGGAGUUGUGCCUGGCAUCGUGGGAGUGGAAAAUUUUUCCCUUUUGCAUUUUGAGACUUGGGUGUGCUGCUUUAAGAUGCCACUGGUAUCUAAGUAAUGUUUGUUUAUACUGGAUAUUUUUCUCUGUAGCCUUUGUGGAUUGGACUUAUAAUAUAAACAAUAUUGUUAGCAGAACUGCAGGUACUCUAUUGCUAUGUUUAUUUUAUUAGUUAAAAAACUACCAGAGCCCUAGGACUUCUGAGCACAUUUAGAAAAUACCAGAGGCAAUUUUAAGACUAGCAUUAGAAAGAAAGAAAAGAAUAAGAAUAAAACUAAGACUUGCAUACCUUAGAAUCCUAACCAAUGUGGUGAUUUUUAAAAAUUAAUGUUUCAGAGACUCUAAAUUAGGGUAGUUGGUUUCAUCAAUUACAUUUUUUAAGUUAAUAUAAAGUGCUUUUGUAUGUAAAUUCUCUUAAUAGAUAAUUUAGGUAAAAUGAAAGUGUGGCAUUUUUUGUUCCAUAGAAUGUAAAACUAACGUCAGAAUAAGAAUUCUUUUGGGAAUUUAGGAUUUUUUUGAUGCUUCUCAAAUCAUCUGUAAUGACUUUUAUUUAUAGAAAAGGUAGAUUAUUCAUUAGUUUUUAUGAAAAACACUCAGUUUAAAUAGCCGGGUAUGGUGGCGCAUGGCUGUAGUCCCAGCUACUCAGGAGGCUGGGCACGAGAAUUGCUUGAACCUGUGAGGCAGAGGUUGCAGUGAGCCAAGAUCGCACCACUGCACUCCAGCCUGGUCCAGAGUGAGAUUCCGUCUCGAACAAAACAAAACAAAAAUAUUGAGCUAAUCUAAAUGGUAAAAAUCUAGAUUUGAAGAAAUUUAUUUUAAAAUAGUUGUUCAUUUGUCAAAUAGAAAAGUAUGAUCUUAGCAGGUUUGGUUAGAUCCCUAUCUGAAACAAAGUAAACUAAAGAUGUUUUUCUUGAUCAAUGCAUAGCAAUAACUGCUGUUCAAACAUGUGAGGAAUCACCAGUAAAUUGGGGGAUAGAAAGCAGGAAAAGGAGCUUUUUUCUCUUAUUUUUUUUCAUUUAUCAGUUUUUCCCAUUUGUCCAUCCUUUCCUAUAAUCAUGGAAAUUUUUAUUUUUUACACUCCUCUCCCCAUUUUUUUAUCCUAGAUUGCCACCACACCAAGGUUUUCUAGAGUUAGGCAGAAAGAGAACCUGGGCCUAGAUGCUAAUGGAAACUAUCCCAUGCUUUCUCAGACUCUCUUUCCUCCCCAGAGACAAGAGGAGCAAAACAGGAGUUGAUGGCUCAUUGCUGUUGCUUCUGUGGCUGCCCUGUUUGGUUGACCUGAGCUUUUUUUAAAAACCUCCACUCUUGACGCUUAACUCUAUGAAUAAAAUUAGGGCCAGUCACACUGUAUUUUCAUCAUCAGUUAUCCCUAGUGAUUCAAAUUUAGCACAAACCUGCUGUGAGUACAUAUUAAUUAGGUGAAUACAGUAGAAUGCAAUCAUAACAUGAGUCUUUUAAUAACUAUUCUUUGUUUGAUUUUUAUUUUAGAAGUUUGAAGUUAUUUUGUUGAAAAUCUAGAAAAUCUUUAUGUGAGCAACUGAGGUUCGGGUAGCCCACAACAGUUUAAAUCAAACAUUAACUUGCAGUAAAACACUACUGAAAGUGUCUUUGAUUUUGAGGUGCAGAGAGCUGUUUCAAGUUAAGUUGCUAUAUUAGUCUGUUCUCAUGCUGCUAAUAAAGACAUACCUGCAACCGGGCAAUUUAUUAAAAAAAAAAAGAGGUUUAAUUGACUGACAGUUCCACAUGGCUGGGGAGGCCUCACCGUCAUGGUGAAAGAGCAAGGGAUGUCUUACAUGGUGGCAGGCAAGAAGUUUGUGCAGAGGAACUCCUGUUUAUAAAACCACCAGAUCUCAUGAGACUUACUCACUACCAGGAGAACAGGAUGCGGGAAACCACCUCGGUGAUUCAGUUAUCUGCACCUGGCCCCACCCUUGACACAUGUUGAUUAUUACAAUUCAAGGUGAGAUUUGGGUAGGUACACAGCCAAACCAUAUCAGCUGCCCAUUCUCCUGUGCAGUGACAUAAAGGUCUGAUAACCUGAUUUAAAGCUUGGACUCUAAGAUUUUUUUUUUUCUUUUUUUGAGUCAGGUUAUCUCUGUCGCUCAAGCUGGAGUUCAGUGGCAUGAACAGGGCUCAUUGCAGCCUCAACCUUCCAGGUUCAAGUGAUUCUCUUGCCUCAACCUCCUGAGUAUCUGGGGCUACAGGCAUGUGCCACCGUGCCAGGCUAAUAUUUUUAUUUUUAUUUUUGUAAAGAUGGGGUCUCACUUCUGGGCUCAAGCAAUCUUUCCUCAGCCUCCCAAAGUGCUGGGAUUAUAGGUGCGAGCCACUGCACCCUGCUGUAAAGAAUUUCAUAUCCCUGUUUUCGGUGUGCUGUGUCACUGUUUGCCAUGGGUAAAGGUAUAUGAAUCUCUUUUAUUUUGCUGCUUGCAACCCAAUUCCCAUGCCAAACCCAAUUUGUAUCCAAACAAACAAUAUUGGAGACAAGUUCUUCUAUAGAAAGCUUCAUAAGCCAGUUACUGACUACUGUGUCUGUAAAUAUACUCAAACUAUUUUGUAGUCUUGCUAUUUUAAAAAAUGUGUGGGUGUGGGAAGUGAUGUUGAAUGAAUUCAGGGUAAUUGGUGGUUCUUUGUAUUAGGAAAACUCACUAGUUAAGGGAAGUCUGUUUUCAUGAUUCAUGUAUGUUUAACUUAAAAAAAAAUUCUUCCAUCCUUCUCUCCAGUUUCCACUCUACCUCAUAAAUUCAAGUAAUGAAGGAAUUUAAAUAAUAGAAUUUUAUAACUGAAAGGAUUUUGGAGAGAAUCUAUUAACCCUCCUACUACAGUUGAGGAAAUAGAUGUCCAGUGAGGUCAAAUGAGAUCAUGUAGCUAGUUUAAAAACCCAAAUAACAUUUUAGUAGUUUGUUUCCAUUAGUAAACACUGUUCUGUUUGAUUUGCCCUAACAUGUUCAUAAUCAGAGUCAUAAUAAGGAAAAAUCACUAAUAUGUGUGUGGUACUUUCUUGUGCAUACCUCAGUCACUUCUCAAAAGAGGUCUGUAAGGUGUCGGUAUCCUGGUUUCCAUUCAGGGAGAGAACAGUCUAUGAGCCUAAGAGACCUGUCUGUGCCAGUCACUAUCAGAACAGUCUAAUGCUAUGUGUCUUCCUACCUUGGCAAAAGCAUUGGCUGGUCUCUGGACAGUUCUCAUAGACCACAGGAUUGGGCAGGGGGGAGCCACAUCUUCAUGUUAGGGCUCUAACCUGUACCAAUUAUUAACUGUUGUCUCUAUUUCAUCAUUUCUUAAAGGGAAAAAAAAGCACUUUUUAAAGAGCAUGAGAUUUUAAAUUUUUCAAAAGAAGGAUGCUGGAUCAUUAUAAGUAAGGCAUGUUUUAAAGAUCUUCUUAUCAACAGCUUAAAAAUUAGCCAGUAUAUACUGAACAUCCACUGUAUAAAAAGCACAUUAUGGGGUGCUCCAGUAGGUACAGCAGUGAUCGAGACAGAAUCAUAGCCUUCAGGGAAGAGGUAUAUGCAAUGUUCUCUCCUUCCAAAGAUUACCUAGAUAGAGAACUGUUCAUAAGAAAUAUCUUGGUACUGUCUACAUUACUCUUGAGAUAUAAAAUAUAUAUUAUUUCUUACGUCUGAAAUGAGUCAGUUGUUUCUAAAACAAUUUGUAUUAAAGUAUUCACAUUAAAAAUUUGUAAAAUACAGAAAAGUAGAGAGAAAAAAUCAUGAAUUUUUAACAUGGUAAUGAUUAUAUCAGUUUCGUUCUUGGCGUUUCUUUAACUUGAUGGGAUAGCUAAUGUUUUUUGUCAUUGCAUAGCUUUGUAAACUUGUCCUAAGGAUUAUAUAAUUUCAGCAUGAGUUAGUUUCUAAGUAUGUCAGAAAUCUAGCUUUUUUGUGGUAAUUGUUGUUUUACACAAAAUGAUUAAUAAAAGACUCUAAACUAACCUUGGCUUUAGAAAUGCUUUUUAAAUUUUAAAAUAGUGAAUGAGUAGCAGAUUACUUUCUAGUAUUUCUUUAAGGUCACCAAAAUCACUUAACUUGCUUAAAAUAUUGAUGGAAAUAUCAACUACGUACAGUUGACCUAAAUUAGAAAUGGGUGUUUUUUAAAUAGUGAAAUUUAUAAAUAUAAUAUGUAUAUUUUAAAAUACAGUUUAUAUUAUAGAGUUAUGUUCCUCUGUAAUAAUUUCUCUUUACACUGAAUCAUGUUCAGUUUUUAUUAUGCAGAUAAUUUAAUCUUACAGCUUUGAUCUUUUUUAAAAAAUAAAACAGCCAUUUGGAGUCUAAA